CCCUACGGGGGGCAGCAGUGAGGAAUAUUGGUCAAUGGCCGAAGGGCUGAACCAGCCAAGCCGCGUGAAGGAAUAAGGCCCUACGGGUCGUAAACUUCUUUAGUCAGGGAACAAAGGGAGCCACGCGUGGCGCUGUGAGUGUACCUGAAGAAUAAGCAUCGGCUAACUCCGUGCCAGCAGCCGCGGUAAUACGGAGGAUGCGAGCGUCAUCCGGAUUUAUUGGGUUUAAAGGGUGCGUAGGCGGACUGUCAAGUCAGCGGUAAAUACGGGGGCUCAACCUCCGCCCGCCGUUGAAACUGACGGUC
rnacentral:rRNA from 1 species